UCGAACGAGAAAGUGGUAGCAAUACCAUGAGUAAAGUGGCGCACGGGUGAGUAACACGUGACUAACCUACCCUUGAGUGGGGGAUAACUGAGGGAAACCUUAGCUAAUACCGCAUAAUACCCACGGGUCAAAGGAGCAAUUCGCUCGAGGAGGGGGUCGCGGCCGAUUAGUUAGUUGGCGGGGUAAUGGCCCACCAAGACGAUGAUCGGUAUCCGGCCUGAGAGGGCGCACGGACACACUGGAACUGAAACACGGUCCAGACUCCUACGGGAGGCAGCAGUGGGGAAUUUUGCGCAAUGGGGGAAACCCUGACGCAGCAACGCCGCGUGGAGGAUGAAGUCCUUCGGGACGUAAACUCCUUUCGAUCGGGACGAUUAUGACGGUACCGGAAGAAGAAGCCCCGGCUAACUUCGUGCCAGCAGCCGCGGUAAUACGAGGGGGGCAAGCGUUGUUCGGAUUUAUUGGGCGUAAAGGGCGCGUAGGCGGUUGGACAAGUCUCAUGUGAAAUCUUCAGGCUCAACUUGAAGUCUGCAUGGGAAACUGUCCGGCUGGAGUGUGGGAGAGGUGCGUGGAAUUUCCGGUGUAGCGGUGAAAUGCGUAGAUAUCGGAAGGAACACCUGUGGCGAAAGCGGCGCACUGGACCAUAACUGACGCUGAGGCGCGAAAGCUAGGGGAGCAAACAGGAUUAGAUACCCUGGUAGUCCUAGCCCUAAACGAUGAUUGCUUUGGUGUGACGGGUACC
rnacentral:rRNA from 1 species